GGUACGUAGCAUAACUGGUAAUGCGUUCGGCUUUUAAUCGAGGGAGUGUGGGUCGAUUCCCAUGGUGCCA
rnacentral:tRNA from 1 species